AUACGUAGGUGGCAAGCGUUAUCCGGAAUUAUUGGGCGUAAAGAGGGAGCAGGCGGCAGCAAGGGUCUGUGGUGAAAGCCUGAAGCUUAACUUCAGUAAGCCAUAGAAACCAGGCAGCUAGAGUGCAGGAGAGGAUCGUGGAAUUCCAUGUGUAGCGGUGAAAUGCGUAGAUAUAUGGAGGAACACCAGUGGCGAAGGCGACGAUCUGGCCUGAAACUGACGCGUAUUCCCGAAAGCGUGGGGAGAAAAUAGGAUUAGAUACCCUAGUAGUCCACGCCGGAAACGAUGAGUACUAAGUGUUGGAUGUCAAAGUUCAGUGCUGCAGUUAACGCAAUAAGUACUCCGCCUGAGUAGUACGUUCGCAAGAAUGAAACUCAAAUGAAUUGGCGGGG
rnacentral:rRNA from 1 species